ensembl:lncRNA
GCUGGUUCCAGUGGUUUGCCAUCAACAGUUUCAUUCUUUUCCUUCUUCACCUUUAUUCUUCUUUGCUCUACCCCCACCUAGAAAUCUGUUUUCCUCCCCACCUUACUCGUCUCACCUCCCUACAGACUAUGCAUCCCCAAGUCCCUAGUGAUCCUUUCUUACUUGCCUGGUCUCUUUGCCCUGCCCUCCAGCUUCUCUGUCACCCUGUUUCAGGUCCAUCAGUGAAUGUUCAUUCUGCUAAUUUUCUUUCCCCAGUCUCUGCCCACAACUACCUUGCAGCCUGGGCAGCUGCAUGUCUCUUCAGUGCAUCACAACUACUCUGGGGGCAACAGAUACUGACUGGCCAGCUUUCAGCCGAUGUACUUGGCUGCUUUUAGACAAGGCAGCCUGUGGAGUAGACAAGCUUUCAAAAUCCUAGCUUGUGUUUUACAUCUGAUAUUAAAUACUUGUUGUCGCAGUUUGAUUGGUACUUUUACCUGUCUUAGGUAGCUGAAAGUCAGCUUGGAUGUGUCCUCAGCAUGUGGAAAAUGCCCAAAGCCCCAGGGAACAAAAAGGAAUAAGAGAGCUUUAAGUGCUGCUGCUUGAAACCAGGAGCUGAUCCCUGACAGCCCUCUGUAUCUCCCACCUGUAUCCCAGUGCUGCAGGAGGUUGAGCACUGGCACAGGUUGCCCAGAGAGGUUGUGGAGUCUCUCUCCUUAGAGAUCUUCAGAAGCCACCUGGACAUGAUCCUGAGCAACCUGCUCUGGGUGGCUCUCCUUAAACAGGGGGGUUGGACCAGAUGACUUGCAGAGGUCCCUGCCAACCUCAGUCAACCACUGUGUGUUUCUGAGAUUCUGUGAUCUGUGUGCAUCUGUGUGUGAACCCUUUCGUGGGGUCACAACAGAGCCAAAAGCAUAUGGAAAAGACAUGAUGGUGAGGAGGCAGGAAGGGACAGUUGCUGGAAAAUGAUUUCCCUUCCAUCUCUCCUGUUAUGCAGAGGUUGUUUGUUAUCUCGGAAUGCAGGCCUGCACUGGAGCGUGUAAUUACAACACCAUGUCCUGGGUUAGAAAGAACUCAGACACUAAAUUGUCCAUGUCAUCACCUGAAUUUGACCAUGAAAUAUGGCACAGAGGGACUGGGAAGGCAGCCUGUAAAGAGGGAGAAAGAGCUUUCUAAGUCCUGCACAAUGAAAAUGCACAAUAGAAAAAGAAGAAAAAGGGUGCCAACACACUUGCUCUGCUGGGAAUCUUCUGACCCCUUCUUGGAUGUUGUGUGAAAGACUGAAAGUCACAUUUCUUAAUGAACAUGGGACCAGAACCACUGAAGAUGAAGUGUGUCACUUGGGACAAUGUGGUUUGCACCUGGAGGAUGUCAGGAGUGCACAUAGUCCUACUGCUCAAGGAGAGAAGAAGGGGCCUUAACAGGUUUGUAGUUCUCUGCUCAUCAUCCCACAGAGGUGAGCUCUAUCUGUAAACAGUAGAUACAGCCAGUGAAAGAUAUGGCAGAUAUGGCACCUGUUCCUGGAAACAGGCUGGACAACUCAUCUGGAAGAGUAAAACAGCUAGCAGAGUGCUCCUGUGCUUCUGCAUGAGCUGAAGGAACAGGCUUUCUUUAAGACAGUCUCCUAGAAGAGGGAAAAGUGGGACAUCUAUCAGCUGUUUGUAGAGCAAUGGGAGAAACCUUGGCAGUAUCUGAUAUUCCUGUACCAUGGAUGAAGAGAAACCUCCAUCAUGUGGGGCUCUGACUCCAAACCCACCCCACAGAGCUGAACCCGCUGCUUCUGGAACAAGCAAUGCUCGCAGGAAGUACACCAGGAUGCAGUAAAUACUCAUCCUGCCUUGCUUCUCUCCUUGCUCUUCACAUCCACUUGGGCAGUAAGGACUCUGAGGAGAACCUUUGCAGCUUCCUGUCAGCCUGGUGACUGCCAUAUACCCUUCAUAGCACAGAAACACCAGGGGUGUUGGACAGAGAUCUGGAUUAUACAUUUUAUCAGCAGGGUCUCAUUUUUGUUCCUUAAAGUCAUCUGAAAAAUAAAAUAAUUUAGCGUGCAGAUACA